rnacentral:piRNA from 1 species
UGGUUGUGUAGCUUAACGUUCUUGUGGGA